rnacentral:rRNA from 1 species
AUUGAACGCUGGCGGCAUGCCUAACACAUGCAAGUCGAACGGUAACAGGCCUUCGGGCGCUGACGAGUGGCGGACGGGUGAGUAACGCGUGGGAAUCUGCCUAGUAGUGGGGGACAACCUGGGGAAACUCAGGCUAAUACCGCAUACGCCCUACGGGGGAAAGCAGGGGAUCUUCGGACCUUGCGCUAUUAGAUGAGCCUGCGUCGGAUUAGCUUGUUGGUGGGGUAAGGGCCUACCAAGGCGACGAUCCGUAGCUGGUUUGAGAGGACGAUCAGCCACACUGGGACUGAGACACGGCCCAGACUCCUACGGGAGGCAGCAGUGGGGAAUAUUGGACAAUGGGGGCAACCCUGAUCCAGCAAUGCCGCGUGUGUGAAGAAGGCCUGCGGGUUGUAAAGCACUUUCGGAUGGGAAGAAAAGCUCAAGGCUAAUAUCCUUGAGUCUUGACGUUACUAUCAGAAGAAGCACCGGCUAACUCUGUG